UGCUCGCCACUACAGCUCAUUUGCAUG
rnacentral:piRNA from 1 species